GGGUUGUUGGUUCCGGGCGAGGGGGGCCGUGUCGCUGCCAUGCCAUCGUGCUGCGCGCCGAGGGCCGGUUCUGACUGGCCUUUGGGGGUGUUGAAGAAAAAAUUAAUGUUGUUCAACAUAGUGUAAGCUGUUCAGAAGAAGAGUGGAGAAUUCAAUACAUGUUUAUAUUUUGAGACUCGUGAUGAAAGAAUAUUGAUUAUUGCAUUGGAGCCAAGUGCUGUCUUACCCUGGCUAAGGGUGGCUUAUCAACGGAUCAUGUCCCGAUUUGCCUAUUGGGCAUUACCAGUCAGUGGUUGAACUUUUUGCAGAGGUGGUGGAAGAAGUAAACAAGUAUUGUUUGAAAGAAAUUACCAGAGUCCGCACCUACAGUUGCAGGUAGGGUUAUAGCACAGCAGUGGAAGAAUACAACCUCAACUGCUUUGAAAGGAGACAGGUCACAUUUAAACCUAAGCAUAGGCAAACUCCCCUCUUCUCUUUUUUUCCUUCUUGGCAUCCCACAUGGUAGAUAAAAAUUCUGUGACCAGUAGAUGGGGAACAGGACAAAAGUAAAACCCCUGUGACCACUUAAAUGGCCAAUUGAACAUGCUAAUUUUUCCUGUUACAGCAAGUGCACAGAGCUGAGUUUGUUGAAGGACAAUGACAAUAGACAAGAACGUUUAUUGUCUUCAACUGAUAAAGACCAGAGGGGCUUCAUAUAAUUCAGGAGGCUUUCCUCUCUGUUUGGGGGUACUGAGAUAUACAGCACAUACUUUUAAGCUUUUCUGCCUGACCAAAUCUUUGGUCAGUGUCCACAAACAUGGAUGCUCAGUGACCAGUUUCUGCUGAACUGAUUAUGGAAGGGUGCAUUGUGGUGGUUUUCUGCCUGGCGGAUCUGUGACAGUGUCAGAGCGGCCUCAACCUACCACAAAGAGUAUAAAGGAGAAGGACAGUCAUGAAAACUUUUCCAGAACUUUUCGUUUUCAGUUAUUCUUCCAGCUCCUACAAGGCAGACCUGCCUCAUAAGUUUAAGUCUGUAGAGACGGGUGAUCAUCUGUCUCACAUGAUGACAAGCAGUACUGAGGGGUGUGCAAACCCCCGUGAUGGAUUUAUUGCCUUAUCUAGAAGAAUGGUAUGGUUUGUGUCUUUUUCUUAUUGUGUCCUCCAUCUCCAGGUGAUUCCUGUACCACUCACUGUUGUGCUACUGAAGACAUUAAAGAGUCCUCUAUUGUACAAGUGCAAGAACAACAGAUCGAAUUACUAGAAAUCCCAGAGCACUCUGAUAUCACGCAAGCGAGACAUAGACUUCAUUCAAGAGGCAAUGAGACCUAUUCUUCAGUGGAUGUCCAGUUUGCUGCAACUGUUUGAACUCAUCCCCACCUGCACCAGGGGUUCUGGUGUCCCAGCUCUGAGGCCUGGUCUACACGACAGAGUUUGUUUGUUUGCAAGGCAGCUUACAUUGACCUAAUUCUGUAAGCGUCUACACUAAAACGUUGCUCCCGCCGAUGUAACUCGCCCUCUCCGCCGACUUAGUAACUCCACCUCCACGAGAGGCAUAGUGCUUAUGUCAACAUAGUUUGGUUGACACAAUAUCAGUGACACUGCAUUACUUAUGUCUACUUUAGUGGCUUCCAGGAGGUGUCCCAUGAUGCCCCAGCAUAACUGCUCUGGUCACCUUUUAGAACUCCGCUGCCUGGCAGUCAGGUAUGCAUGUACAUGCCUCUCCCCCUUUAAAGCCCCGCCAAUUUUAAAUUCUAUUUCAUGUUUGGUUGGUAUGGAGAGUUCACAUAGCAACUGCCCAGCUGACCAUGCUGGCGCCACGCAGAAAAGGUGCUCUUGCCAGGAGUACACAGCAGGUGGUGGAUCUCCUUGGUCUGUGGGGAGAAGAGGCUGUGCAGGCACAGCUCUGAUCCAUCCGUAGAAACGUUGACAUCUAUGGCCAGAUCGCUGGGGGCAUGGCGGAGAAGGGCUACAACAGGCACAUGCAGCAGUGCCAUGUAAAAAUCAAGGAGUUGCUGCAGGUGUACCAGAAGGUAAGGGAGGCAAACUGUCACUCUGGUGUGGAACCGCAGACAGGCUGCUUCUACACGGAGCUGCAAGCCUUCCUUGGGGGAGACCACCACCACGAACCCCGUGGAUAUUUCAGGGGAGCUGGAAUCAGCGACCCCUGCAGUGCACACUGAGGAGGAGGUGAUGCACGAGGAGGAGGAGUUUUGGAGGACAGGCGACUGGGGGAAUGCAGUGGCGCAGUGAGCCAGGACCUCUUUCUGACCGCCGAAGAGUCCCUACUAUCCAGCACCGGCGAGCCUGAUGCAGGGGAUGGAACCUCUACUGGAAAUGUGGCUUUGAGGGUCUCUCCAUCCACACCACUGGAGUGGCUCAGAUGAUGAGAAGAAAGGGGAUGAGGGACGACAUGUUCCACGAGAUCCUGCAAGCCUCUGGUGUUGCACAUACCGAGCAGAGGGCUUGGAGGAGCACCCUUGUGGACAGAAUGGAAAGAGAUAGUGCAGAGAGGAGAAACACAGAGGAAAAGGACAGACACACGCAGCAGGUCAUGUUAGCGCUUCUCAAGCGCCAGAUGGACAUGCUGGAGAUUCUUAUAGACCUUCAGGUCCAAGUAAUCCUUGCUUGCCUCCCACUGCAGUCUAUUGAUAACUGCAUUCUGGGACCUCACUAUGCUCCCUGCCCCUACAUUUCACAUAUAUUUCAGGGCCACUGCAGUACCCCUACCCACUCCAUCCCGAGGGAGAGUACACACAAUCAGAGCUGCACGUACACUGACCUAUGAGAGACACGGUUGGUGUAUUUGUGUUUGAAAUGAGAAUGACUGUUCUUUCCCUGUCAAAGGUUCUUUUCCCUGUAUUUAUAUAGUUUCAUUCAGUUACAGUUAUUUUUGUUUGCAUGAGUUUGGAAUAAAAGUCU